rnacentral:rRNA from 1 species
UACGUAGGCAGCGAGCGUUGUUCGGAAUUACUGGGCGUAAAGAGUGUGUAGGCGGUGCUCUAAGUUCGGUGUGAAAUCUCCUGGCUCAACUGGGAGGGUGCGCCGGAAACUGGAGUGCUUGAGCGUGGGAGAGGAAAGCGGAAUUCCUGGUGUAGCGGUGAAAUGCGUAGAUAUCGUUUGGAACGCCAAUGGUGAAAACAGACAGCUGGGAGUGUGCUGACGCUGAGACACGAAAGCCAGGGGAGCAAACAGG